AGUCACCUGUAAACCAAAUUCAAUUUUUUCUCCUCAGUCAAAUAAUCAUAGGAACUCCUUGGAAGUCCAUAAAUGUGGAUUGAUAGAUAAAUAGAAGCAUGACAGGGAUUUUCAUGAUGAAAAGGUACUAACAAGCAACUUUCUGGUAACUUUUUCCUGAGCUGCAUCUGCUUCUUAGCUGGACAUCUUUCCUUGUGUUUGCUACGCUAUGUCCAAGGAACACUUGAGGAAUACGCUCUAGGAAACUUGUUGCUGUAAUAGUAGGUGAGAAUCAUAGGAUCUUACACAGAAACUAAGAAAAACUUUCAGAUUUGAGACAUAUGGGUUACAGAGAAACCAUAUAAACUCUCUGAACUUCAUUAUCCACUCUGUGUACCUCAAAGUGGCAUUGUGACUGUAAUAUAAAUUGAGUAUAGAGGACCACUGAAAACCUAAAGCACCGUGCAACGGUAAGGCAACGUAACACCAACAUUCAACUUCAAAACCUAGUCCUUUCUUCAUU